rnacentral:RNase_P_RNA from 1 species
CAGGUCGGCUGGACGGUCGCGGUUCCGCGCUUUGGCGCAGAGUCGAGGAAAGUCCGCACUCCACAGAGCACGGCACCGGGGAAACCCCGGGGCGAGGUAACUUGCCGGAUAGGGCCACAGAAACAGACAGCCGCCGCAAGGCGGUCAUGGUGAAAAGGCGGUGUAAGAGACCACCGGCGUCUGCAGCAAUGCGGGCGGCCAGGUAACCCCCGCCGGGAGCAAGGCCAAGCAGGGACGAGACGCUGCUCGCGUCGUUCGAGUUCCGGGUAGGCUGCACAGAGAGAUGACCGUCCAGGCAGAGCGUCGGGAAGAAACUCUUCGGAGCGUAAACCGACAUUCCUCCGCCGGACAAAAUGCGGCUUAUAGGCCGGCCUGAGGA